rnacentral:rRNA from 1 species
AAGUUUGAUGGCGACCGGCGCACGGGUGAGUAACACGUAUCCAACCUGCCGAUGACUCGGGGGAUAGCCUUUCGAAAGAAAGAUUAAUACCCGAUGGCAUAGUUCUUCCGCAUGGUAGAACUAUUAAAGGAUUUCGGUCAUCGAUGGGGAUGCGUUCCAUUAGGUUGUUGGCGGGGUAACGGCCCACCAAGCCUUCGAUGGAUAGGGGUUCUGAGAGGAAGGUCCCCCACAUUGGAACUGAGACACGGUCCAAACUCCUACGGGAGGCAGCAUG